rnacentral:rRNA from 1 species
AGAGUUUGAUCCUGGCUCAGGAUGAACGCUGGCGGCGUGCCUAAUACAUGCAAGUCGAGCGAACCACUUCGGUGGUGAGCGGCGAACGGGUGAGUAACACGUAGGUGAUCUGCCCAUCAGACGGGGACAACGAUUGGAAACGAUCGCUAAUACCGGAUAGGACGAAAGUUUAAAGGUGCUUCUGGCACCGCUGAUGGAUGAGCCUGCGGCGCAUUAGCUAGUUGGUAGGGUAAAGGCCUACCAAGGCGACGAUGCGUAGCCGACCUGAGAGGGUGAACGGCCACACUGGGACUGAGACACGGCCCAGACUCCUACGGGAGGCAGCAGUAGGGAAUCUUCGGCAAUGGGCGAAAGCCUGACCGAGCAACGCCGCGUGAAUGAUGAAGGCCUUCGGGUUGUAAAAUUCUGUUAUAAGGGAAGAACGACUUUAGUAGGAAAUGGCUAGAGUGUGACGGUACCUUAUGAGAAAGCCACGGCUAACUACGUGCCAGCAGCCGCGGUAAUACGUAGGUGGCGAGCGUUAUCCGGAAUUAUUGGGCGUAAAGAGCGCGCAGGUGGUUGAUUAAGUCUGAUGUGAAAGCCCACGGCUUAACCGUGGAGGGUCAUUGGAAACUGGUCGACUUGAGUGCAGAAGAGGGAAGUGGAAUUCCAUGUGUAGCGGUGAAAUGCGUAGAGAUAUGGAGGAACACCAGUGGCGAAGGCGGCUUCCUGGUCUGUAACUGACACUGAGGCGCGAAAGCGUGGGGAGCAAACAGGAUUAGAUACCCUGGUAGUCCACGCCGUAAACGAUGAGUGCUAAGUGUUGGGGGUCGAACCUCAGUGCUGAAGUUAACGCAUUAAGCACUCCGCCUGGGGAGU